ensembl:lncRNA novel transcript, antisense to TTC6
GGCUAUCCAUUGAUGCAUAAUGGAUCACUCAAUACUCAGAGGUCGGUGACUAAACAAGUACUCGCUGCUAUAUUAUCCAGGCCAUUUGCUUGAUCAUUUCCUCUGGUUAAAAGCAAGUAUUUGUUCUUUCAAGUAUUUGUUUUGUUCGGGCUCCAAAAGUUAAAGAGGUAAGUUUACAUCAAGACAGGUAAGUAUCUGUCCACAAUGAAAUCUUGGAAAAGAUGAUUCCCUAUGGUUCAAUUGUGUGGCCCUAAGUAGCACACACGGGCUAACAGGGUUGUAGAGAGACAGUAGAUGUUGUUGCUGAAAGAGGCCUUGGCCGAGUUUCAACAUGAGAAGUGGUGUUGUUGUUGUUUAUAUCCUAUCAAAUGCCGACAUCUGUUCAUGGACCGUGUCCUUGCCAGAGCUAUACUGUGAGGAUAUUUAAAAUAAAGAUAUGUAAACAUGGCACCUUGAAGUCACUAUAUUUUAUCUUCACUCAAAUACAACCUCUU